UAAAGCUCAGAAAGGAGAUGGAAAAUACUGUUUUUGAUAGUGACCAGGAAAGGCUCUUUUAAGAAGAUGAGAGUUGAGCAGAGAGCUGAAGCCACAUAGAUACCUGGAACAAGAGCUGUCCAAAUAGGAGAACUUUGUGGUAGAUGAAUGCAGAAGUUACCUUCUGAUUGCUCUUUUCUCUGUGAAAGAAGCAGCAGAAUUAUCAGCUGAAAAGGGGUAAGAGGGUUAGAGGUUUUGCAAAAUAGUCUAGGAGAGUAAGAUGUUGAAUUUACCAGUGGUAUGUAGUAGGAUUGUGAGGGCCCAUCUUGGGCUGUGAGUCGAACUUUAAAAUGAAACUAAUAAGCAUAACUGUACCUCUUUCCUCUAGCUAUAUUCAUUGCUUGGUAGAAAGUUGGGUUUAACCACAGUUGGAUACAAGGAAUAGAGGAGGAGCAAGGGAAUUUAGAAUGUAUACAAGGGAGUGACUCUCAUUUAAGCUACAAGAGCACAAAAUGGGUGCUGGAUAGAGAUGGGUAGUGAUGGGUAGCGGGCUUAGUUGUUUGGAGGUCCCAUUGAGGUUAAAGAGCUUUUAAGAGUAUAGAUGUCAGAAAGAAUGAGUUGGCAAGAUAAGAUGUAGUGGUUAGGAUAUGAAAAGCUUGGAAUUGAGAUUUGGGGGAAGUUUAGAUAACGACAAGACUAAGGGGAAUAAGUGGUUGAGAUGUUAUUAAAGAUAACUAGAGGUAGGGAUGUGAGAACUUAGAGCUCAGGGUUUCAAAUGGAUCAUCUAUUUGAUUAUUAAAAUUUUCCCCCCAAAAAUGACAGGAAUAAUCCUGGGGACACAGGGACUGUAAAUGAUUGCAAUAAGGAGGAGUGGCAAGGGGAUAUGCUGAGGGCGUGAGGUAGGCAAGGAGGAAGAAUAAUCCAGAUGCCUACAGAGGAGUUGAGGGAUGCCUGCCCGGGGUUUAGCAUCAAACACAGCCAUCCUUUGACAGGUUUGGAGGAAGAUAAUAUCUCAAGACAGCCAGGUUUCAGUUAGCAUGUGUGGAGACUGACAUAAACCAAAAUAUAGUCAUUAGAAGAGUAAUCCUGAUGGGAAGUGGAUAAUUCAUUCUCAUUGCCGUCUUUUGGCCAUUUGCUUUGUGAGGCAGGGAGUGUUGGGUGAGAUCAAGGGGUAAGAUUGUCAGGAAUUCUGUGAGCUGCUUUUUCAACUAACUAAAAACAGAUAGUGGUUCUUAGUGUUAGUGGUAGGGAUCAGAUCAGAAUUUCCUGGGAGAGCUUUUUGGAUACCUCAAUUCAUAUUCACUACCUGAUUAGGGACCUGGCGAGAGAUACAUUAAAAUGCAUAUAUUAAUUAUUAAAAGUAUUCAUACAUUAAUAUGUAUAUAUGUGUGUGGCAAAUGCUAUUUGAUAGCUAUUUGGGGAUUUGACUGUUACGUAUUCAACUUGUGAGGCUAGGAAAUGCACAUAUUAGCAAAGUGUUAUAUUAAAUAAACCGUGAGCCCUCCUCUUCUAAAUAUCUUCUCACUAAAAUACUUUUGAAGACAUAGGAAAAGAUGAAAACUCACAACAAAGUUGAAAAUAACAUUGCGGACGUUAUCUAGAGAAAACUAAAACUUACUGAAAGAAGACGAGUUAUGAAAAAAAUGAACACUCAGCCGGGUGUGAUGGCUCACGCUUGUAAUCCCAACACUUUGGCAGGUCGAGGUGGGAGGAUCUCUUGAGGCCAGGAGUUUGAGACCAUCCUUGGCGGCAUAGCAAGACCCCAUCUCCAUAAAAAAUAAAAAUAAAAAAUUAGCCAGUUGUGGUGGUAUGUGCCUGUAGUCCUAGCUGCCUGGGAGCCUGAGGUGAGAGGAUUACUUGAGCCCAGGAGUUUGAGGCUGCAGUGAGCUACAGUUGCACCAUUGUAAUCCAGCCUGGAUGACAGAGCAAGACUCUGUCUCAAAGGAAAAAAAAAACAAAUUUUUAAAGAAAAAAUUAAGAACACUCAAGCUUUGGCACGUGAAACCUGAAAAACAAAAAUAGGAGAUACUACAUAAUUCAUUCAUCUUUUGCCUCUGAAUUUAGAGACAGGCUCUGUAUCAACCAGAAAAUUGGUAUCCUCCUCCCGCCUGCAUUGUUAUAAUAACUGUAAGAACUAGUACUUAAUAUAAAACAAGUGGGUGGGAAGUAUGUAUGUGUACUUGGUUUAAGUGGAGAAGGUAAUCAUAAUCAGGGGACAUAGAAGCUAUUAAUGUAUUCAUUGCCUUCAGUUUAGACAUGGGCAGAUCCAAAAAUUAAAAUUUUUUUUUGUUUCCUUUAGUAAACAAUGCACAGUUCUGUGGAUUUUCAUUUUUGGACCAAUGAGCAUUACUUAAAAGUAAUUACUUACUAGUAAUGUUAUUACUUACUAAUAAGUAAAUUACUAAAGACCACUAAAAUGUGUUUCCACAAAUGAAAAUCAAUGUUUUAUUAGAGUUUUUAGGACUCUACUUAUAAGAUGCCUGGUUCCUGUACAAGGUUUAUAAUUUUGCAAUAAUGCACAAAAGUGUUUAUACAGGUGUUGUCACACAGCAGGUCAGACAACUGACAGAAACUAUCCUACGGUCAGUACUCAAGCAUUUUCUUAUGAAUGUAUCAUCCUGUUGGGAGGUAUUCAUGGUUUUUCUGCUAUUUUUGCAUUUCAGAUAUGUAUUAUUUUAGCUUGAUAACCAUUGAGAUUGCUAUAGAUUAUUUGAUUUGUGUAUAAUGAUGUAUAUAUGCAUAUUUCACUAUAUUUUUCUAGUUUUCUAUAACUGAGUUUUAAAUAUUUUUGGUAGAAUAAUAUGCUUUCAUUGCUAAAAAUACAUACCCCUCUAUAUUGCUUAUAACAUUUCGAUGAUGUAGCCAGUGAAUAUGUGCUAAUUUAAAUAACUUGUAUAUAGAAUUAAGCCAACUGCCAUAUUAUAACUGGGUUCUUUUUAACUUAAUAGGAUAUUGUUUUAUAAUAUUAAAUCGUAUGUUUAAGCUCAUUCUCUUUAAAAAUAAACAAGCAAUUUCU
ensembl:lncRNA